GUUUCCGUAGUGUAGUGGUCAUCACGUUAGCCUUACACGCAAAAGGUCCCCAGUUCGAUACUGGGCGGAAACU
rnacentral:tRNA from 1 species